CAGUAGCCACGGUAAUACGGAGGGUGCAAGCGUUAAUCGGAAUUACUGGGCGUAAAGCGCACGCAGGCGGUCUGACAAGUCAGAUGUGAAAUCCCCGGGCUUAACCUGGGAACUGCAUUUGAAACUGUCAGGCUGGAGUCUUGUAGAGGGGGGUAGAAUUCCAGGUGUAGCGGUGAAAUGCGUAGAGAUCUGGAGGAAUACCGGUGGCGAAGGCGGCCCCCUGGACAAAGACUGACGCUCAGGUGCGAAAGCGUGGGGAGCAAACAGGAUUAGAUACCCCGGAGUCCCUGUCUCUUAUACA
rnacentral:rRNA from 1 species